rnacentral:rRNA from 1 species
CCUACGGGAGGCAGCAGUGAGGAAUAUUGGUCAAUGGGCGAGAGCCUGAACCAGCCAAGUCGCGUGAGGGAAGACGGUCCUAUGGAUUGUAAACCUCUUUUGCCGGGGAGCAAAAAGCGGUACGUGUACCGCAUCGAGAGUACCCGGAGAAAAAGCAUCGGCUAACUCCGUGCCAGCAGCCGCGGUAAUACGGAGGAUGCGAGCGUUAUUCGGAUUUAUUGGGUUUAAAGGGUGCGCAGGCGGCGAGUUAAGUCAGCGGUAAAAUUUCGGGGCUCAACCCCGACGAGCCGUUGAAACUGGCGUGCUAGAGUGGGCGAGAAGUAUGCGGAAUGCGUGGUGUAGCGGUGAAAUGCAUAGAUAUCACGCAGAACUCCGAUUGCGAAGGCAGCAUACCGGCGCCCAACUGACGCUCAGGCACGAAAGCGUGGGUAUCGAACAGGAUUAGAUACCCCGGUAGUC